AAUUUGGAACGAAUCGAUGUCAACGUUCACAAGAACCAAAACCGGAACAACGUUAGACUUCUCAGUUGAGCCCUAACAGUAUAACAUUGCAGCUAGUACUUUUUCUCAUUCAAUCGAACAAAGAGUAAAAACCUAAUUAUAUUGUUGUAUUAUGCCCCGAGAGUAUAAAUUUGGAACGAAUCGAUGUCAACUUUCACAAGAAGCAAAACUGGAACAACAUUAAACUACUCAGUUGCGCCCUAACAGUAUAACUUUGCAACAAGUACUUUUUCUCAUUCAACCGAACAAAGAGUAAAACCUAAUUAAAUUGUUCUAUUAUGCCCCGAGAGUGUAAAUUUGGAACGAAUCGAUGUCAAUGUUCACAAGAACCAAAACCGGAACAACAUUAGACUACUUAGUUGCGCCAUAACAGUAUAACUUUACAACAAGCACUUUUUCUCAUUCUAUCGAACAAAGAGUAAAAGCUUUCUAUUAUACCCCGAGAGUGUAAAUUUGGAACGAAUCGAUGUCAACGUUCACAAGAACCAAAAUCGGAACAACGUUAGACUACUUAGUUGAGCCCAAACAGUUUAACUUUGCAACUAGUACUUUUUCUCAUUCAAUCGAACAAAGAGAAUAACCUAAUUAAAUUAUUCUAUUUUGCCCCGAGUGUGAAAUUUGGAACGAAUCGAUGUCAACGUUCACAAGAACCAAAACGGAACAACAUUAGACUACUCAGUUGCGCCAUAACAGUAUAACUUUGCAACGAGUACUUUUUCUCAUUCUAUCAAAUAAGAAGUAAAAGCUUUCUAUUAUGCCCCGAGAGUGUAAAUUUGGAACGAAUCGAUGUCAACGUUCACAAGAACCAAAACCGGAACAACAUUAGACUUCUCAGUUGAGCCCUAACAGUAUAACAUUGCAACUAGUACUUUUUCUCAUUCAAUCGAACAAAGAGUAAAAACCUAAUUAUAUUAUUGUAUUAUGCCCCGAGAGUAUAAAUUUGGAACGAAUCGAUGUCAACUUUCACAAGAAGCAAAACCGGAACAACACUAGACUACUCAGUUGCGCCCUAACAGUAUAACUUUGCAACAAGUACUUUUUCUCAUUCAACCGAACAAAGAGUAAAACAUAAUUAAAUUGUUCUAUUAUAC
rnacentral:lncRNA from 1 species